rnacentral:rRNA from 1 species
AACGAACGCUGGCGGCGUGCUUAACACGUGCAAGUCUAGCGGAUCCUGGGGCUUGCUCCUUGAUUAGUGGCGCACGGGUGAGUAACGCGUGGAUAAUGUGCCCGACGAUCUGGGAUAACAUCUCGAACGGGGCGCUAAUACCGGAUAAGCCCACGGGGACUUCGGAUCUUGCGGGAAAAGAGGGGGACCUUCGGGCCUCUUGUCGUCGGAUGAGUCCGCGUACCAUUAGCUAGUUGGCGGGGUAAAGGCCCACCAAGGCUACGAUGGUUAGCUGGCCUGAGAGGAUGAUCAGCCACACUGGAACUGAGACACGGUCCACACUCCUACGGGAGGCAGCAGUGGGGAAUUUUGCACAAUGGGGGAAACCCUGACGCAGCAACGCCGCGUGAGUGAUGAAGGCCUUCGGGUCGUAAAGCUCUGUCUAGAGGAAAGAAGUGUGGGGUGGCUAAUAUCCACUUCACUUGACGGUACCUCUGAAGGAAGCACCGGCUAACUCCGUUCCAGCAGCCGCGGUAAUACGGAGGGUGCGAGCGUUGUUCGGAUUUAUUGGGCGUAAAGCGCGUGUAGGCGGUUUCUUAAGUCUGAUGUGAAAGCCCCGGGCUCAACCUGGGAAGUGCAUUGGAUACUGGGAGACUUGAAUACGGGAGAGGGUAGUGGAAUUCCUAGUGUAGGAGUGAAAUCCGUAGAUAUUAGGAGGAACACCGGUGGCGAAGGCGGCUACCUGGACCGAUAUUGUCGCUGAGACGCGAAAGCGUGGGUAGCAAACAGGAUUAGAUACCCUGGUAGUCCACGCCGUAAACGAUGAGAACUAGGUGUUGCGGGUAUUGACCCCUGCAGUGCCGCAGAUAACGCAUUAAGUUCUCCUCCUGGGAAGUACGGUAGCAAGAGUC